CGUUGGAUCCGUGUUAAUUGCAACACUAAGCAGACUGUUUACAAACACUUGGGCCACCAACAAGCAUCGGGCCCGAAAUUCUGGGGGCUCCAUCUCACCUUUAACCCCAGCAUCCUCCACCCAUCUUAUUCUGUGACAGAUAUGAUAUGCCUCUGCAUAUCAUCCUUCACAACAUCCAUGAAUCUUCUCUGAGAUAGCUCUUCACAGAGAAGCAGGUCUGAAGAAGAGUUUCAUGAAAUGGCGCCAUCUAGUGGAAAUAUGUAGUCCUACACCCGGCUUCGUCUAAUGAACUUGAACGCUCAUGGGUUUAGAAAAGUCGUAUAUAUAUAUGUUGUUGACGUAUAUAUUUUUAAUAUACUUACAAUACAACAGUUCAUAUAUUAUAAGUCUGCACGAUAUGCCUAGAUUAAUAGGUGAUAAUUCACUAUAUCUAAAGCUAUAGAAAUGAUCAACUUUAAUAUUAUAUAAUAUAAUAUAAAAUAAUAUAAUAU